UACGGAGGAUGCGAGCGUUAUCCGGAUUUAUUGGGUUUAAAGGGUGCGUAGGCUGUCGGUUAAGUCAGCGGUGAAAUCAGCACGCUUAACGUGUUGUUUGCCGUUGAAACUGUCCGUCUUGAAUGCGCUCGUCGUGGGAGGAAUGUGUGGUGUAGCGGUGAAAUGCAUAGAUAUCACACAGAACACCGAUUGCGAAGGCAUCUCACGAGAGCGUUAUUGACGCUGAUGCACGAAAGCGCGGGUAU
rnacentral:rRNA from 1 species